AGCAGUAGCCACGGUAAUACGUAGGUGGCAAGCGUUGUCCGGAAUUAUUGGGCGUAAAGGGCUCGCAGGCGGUUCCUAAGUCUGAUGUGAAAGCCCCCGGCUCAACCGGGGAGGGUCAUUGGAAACUGGGAAACUUGAGUGCAGAAGAGGAGAGUGGAAUUCCACGUGUAGCGGUGAAAUGCGUAGAGAUGUGGAGGAACACCAGUGGCGAAGGCGACUCUCUGGUCUGUAACUGACGCUGAGGAGCGAAAGCGUGGGGAGCGAACAGGAUUAGAUACCCCCGUAGUCCCUGUCUCUUAUACA
rnacentral:rRNA from 1 species